UACAGAGGUCUCAAGCGUUGUUCGGAUUUAUUGGGCGUAAAGAGCGUGUAGGCGGCCAGGUAGGUCUGCUGUGAAAACUCGAGGCUCAACCUCGAGAUGUCGGCGGAAACCAUCUGGCUAGAGUUCGGAAGAGGCGAGUGGAAUUCCCGGUGUAGCGGUGAAAUGCGCAGAUAUCGGGAGGAACACCUAUGGCGAAGGCAGCUCGCUGGGACGUUACUGACGCUGAGACGCGAAAGCGUGGGGAGCAAACAGG
rnacentral:rRNA from 1 species